rnacentral:rRNA from 1 species
CCUACGGGUGGCAGCAGUGAGGAAUAUUGGUCAAUGGACGGAAGUCUGAACCAGCCAUGCCGCGUGCAGGAAGACGGCUCUAUGAGUUGUAAACUGCUUUUGUACAAGGGUAAACCUGAAUACGUGUAUUCAGCUGAAAGUACUGUACGAAUAAGGAUCGGCUAACUCCGUGCCAGCAGCCGCGGUAAUACGGAGGAUCCAAGCGUUAUCCGGAUUUAUUGGGUUUAACGGGUGCGUAGGCAGAUUGAUAAGUUCGGGGGGAAAUGUCCGAGCGUAACUCGGGAACUGCCUCUAAUACUGUUGAUCUAGAGAGUAGGUGCGGUAGGCGGAAUGUAUGGUGUAGCGGUGAAAUGCUUAGAGAUCAUACAGAACACCGAUUGCGAAGGCAGCUUACCAAUCUAUAUCUGACGUUGAGGCACGAAAGCGUGGGGAGCAAACAGGAUUAGAUACCCUAGUAGUC